CAGUCGCCGCGGUAAUACGUAGGUGGCAAGCGUUGUCCGGAAUUAUUGGGCGUAAAGCGCGCGCAGGUGGUUUAAUAAGUCUGAUGUGAAAGCCCACGGCUCAACCGUGGAGGGUCAUUGGAAACUGUUAAACUUGAGUGCAGGAGAGAAAAGUGGAAUUCCUAGUGUAGCGGUGAAAUGCGUAGAGAUUAGGAGGAACACCAGUGGCGAAGGCGGCUUUUUGGCCCGUAACUGACACUGAGGCGCGAAAGCGUGGGGAGCAAACAGGAUUAGAUACCCGAGUAGUCCCUGUCUCUUAUAC
rnacentral:rRNA from 1 species